rnacentral:lncRNA from 1 species
CUCAGCCUCUAGCUAUUUUCUCAGCUCUGCCUGGCUGAUAAAGGUGCCUACCAAACAUAGAGCCAUCACCUGCUUUCUGCACCAGGCUAUUGGAGUCAAGGGGAAAGUUGGAUGAAGAGGUGGACAUGUACAGACAAGUCACAUGGAGAGUCCUAUUUAGUCUCCUACUUGAUUAUACUCAAGAAGAUUCUCCAUCUGAGCACAUAAAAGAAACCAGCCCUGCCAACACAUUAAUGCUAGAGGCUCAACCACCUGAACUGCAAGUGACCAGGGGAACAGUGGUACCUCAUACAUAACUCUAGCAGACCACGCAGAAGGGUGAGCAAGCUUCCUACACACUUUGUUUUAGCUUUCAUCACUAUCAGAAUUGGUUUUGUUCAUCCCAUUCAACCAGCAAGUGUGCAUCCAUCAUUCACCUGUAAAAACAGCCAUGAGAUAGUGGAACAGUUUAAAGCUUGUGAAAAAAGCAAGUCCCAUGAGAGUGAUGCUGCCUGCAGGUGGACAGACAUUUAUGGGUGUGGAUGGCAGCAAUGGAGGAUAAGCUGAGGUACUCAGAGACUCCCGGGGGCAGGUCAGCAGGCAGAUGGAAGUGAGACCAUGAAUAUUCCUGCCUUGAGUCCUCAUCCAGUGGCUGAUGGAAGCAGAGGCAGACACCCACAGAUAUACACUGAACUGAACUCUGGAAUCUAGUUGCAGAGAGAGAGGAAUGAAGAUCAAACGGGGAGGUACCAGGCUGGUGAAACCCACAAAAACAGCUGGCCUGAACAAGGGGGAGCACAUGAACCCCAGACUGCUGUCUGGGAGGCCAGCACAGGACUGACCCAGACCCCUGAACAUGGAUGUCAAUUAGGAGGCCCCGCACCUUAGGGGCCCCUGGUAAUGGAUUAGUAUUUUUCCCUGGUGUAAAAAGGGACUUUGAGAGCCCAUCCCACGUGAAGGGAUACACUCUUGCUGUGGGCACAUGGGGGAGGGCCUAGGCCCGGCCCAAGAUGAUGUGUGGACUUUGGGGAGCCACCAUAAAGGGCCCUACUCUGCCUGGGGAGUGGAG